rnacentral:rRNA from 1 species
AUUGAACGCUGGCGGCAGGCUUAACACAUGCAAGUCGAGCGAGCGGCGGACGGGUGAGUAAUGUAUGGGAAACUGCCUGAUGGAGGGGGAUAACUACUGGAACCGGUAGCUAAUACCGCAUACCAUCAGAUGUGCCCAGCUGGGAUUAGCUAGUCGGUGGGGUAAUGGCUCACCUAGGCGACGAUCCCUAGCUGGUCUGAGAGGAUGACCAGCCACACUGGAACUUAGACACGGUCCAGACUCCGACGGUAGGCAGCAGUGGGGAAUAUUGCACAAUGGUCGCAAGCCUGAUGCAGCCAUGCCGCGUGUGUGAAGAAGGCUUUCGGGUUGUAAAGCACUUUCAGCGAAGAGGCGUUACUCGCAGAAGAAGCACCGGCUAACUCCGUGCCAGCAGCCGCGGUAAUUC